GUCCCGGAUCGCCCCUCCGCGACCGUACCAUUAUUGAGAGGGAACUGAGAAAGGAAAGUACCAAAGCCCUCGUGGGGCUAGGGGGAGGCGGCAGGGCCGGCUCGCUCCGUCCCGUUUACAACCCCAGUUCUAAUUGUUUUGGGACGGGUAGAAUUGUGAGUUGUGAAAGCGAAAGAGGCGCCCUUUUUCCUAGUCAGAACUAUUGACUUGGGAAACGGGUUUCUUUCCUCUAAUGUCGGGAAUGGUGUGACCGGCCUCGCUCCGGCUCUUGAUGCAGAGCUUGAACCACUUGGGGGCGUUCCGAGUCUGAGGAGCGCGCGGGACGAAAGUCGUGACGAGCUCGGUACCGGAUCACCUCCAGGCUUGCUCGAACUGCCUUGUCCGGUAGAAGUCAAGCCCAUCGAGGUAGCACAUGCCUAUUAAUCCCAGCAUUCAGGGGGCAAAAUCAGGCAGACCUCUGAAUUCUUGGCCAACCUGGUGUACAUGGCCUGCUCUGUGCGUAGAACCUGGGAAGUCCUAAAGACAGAGACACAAACCCAGUUGCCACCCUCCAGAAGCGACAGUCGCAUAAUUGGUGUGGUGCAGACCUGUGGUUCCUACCAGUUAUUGGAAUUGAAUGUUCUAGGGUUGGAAGAUGUUCUGAAAAUAGGACACUUCGUCUAUAGGAAGGUAGGAUUAUCAAGAAAAGAUCCCGCAUGAGGUGCCUCCUGAACCAAGCUUUGAAGGAAAAUCAGGAUUUAGCUGACGAUAACCCUGAAACUCAAGAGAGGUGAACGUGUUGAUCAAGAUCACAUGGUCAAUUAGGAAUAGAAGCAGAGAUCCUGCCAACCUUUGAACUGAGUGAUGUUCGCUUGCCUGGCCUUGGUCUACACACUGAGAGAAGAGAACAACGGCUUCAGCAGAAUGUUUCUGGGAAGUCUCGUUUCUGGGCCUGUCUGCCCCUGAUCUAUUCCCUAUGGCCUCACAUGAAGUCCUGCAACCCCCUCAUCCACCCCAUG